GAUGAACGCUGGCGGCAUGCCUAAUACAUGCAAGUCGAACGAGAGGAAGGAAAGCUUGCUUUUCUGAAUCUAGUGGCGAACGGGUGAGUAACACGUAGGUAACCUGCCCAUGUGCCCGGGAUAACUUCUGGAAACGGAUGCUAAAACCGGAUAGGUAGCAGACAAGCAUUUGACUGCUAUUAAAGUGGCUAAGGCCAUGAACAUGGAUGGACCUGCGGUGCAUUAGCUAGUUGGUGAGGUAACGGCCCACCAAGGCGACGAUGCAUAGCCGGCCUGAGAGGGCGGACGGCCACAUUGGGACUGAGACACGGCCCAAACUCCUACGGGAGGCAGCAGUAGGGAAUUUUCGUCAAUGGGGGGAACCCUGAACGAGCAAUGCCGCGUGAGUGAAGAAGGUCUUCGGAUCGUAAAGCUCUGUUGUAAGAGAAAAACGACAUUCAUAGGGAAUGAUGAGUGAGUGAUGGUAUCUUACCAGAA
rnacentral:rRNA from 1 species